UUCUGGUUAAUUAACCUAGUACCUCUAUUUUGUUCUGCUACGGUUAUUGCUCCGACGCUAUAUAAACCCUGAUUAUUGUUUAUUAAAUAAAUAAGAUGCUGUUUCUCAAAUCUUGGGUCUUGCUGCUCGUAAUGAGUAUUUUGAUGUGUUCGAUGGUGGAUUCCCGGAAAGCCUACGUGACUCUCCGCAGGCGACCAGUCCUGGUUAAAAAACUGGCGAUGCGACCAACAAAAACAUUUUUGAUAUAAGAUACCAGUUUGGUGUAUAUUCUAGCUAAUGAUAUAAACUGUAAAACCUGUAAUACAUAUUAUAGACUAGCUUUAGCCCGGGGCCUCGCCCGCUUGGAUUUCCCACGGGAAAAUA